UUUAAAAUAUAAGUAUGUCCCAUGAAAUGUUUGGGACACAUUUAUACUAAAA
rnacentral:pre_miRNA from 1 species